rnacentral:ncRNA from 1 species
GCUAAUACAUGCGAGAAGCGCCGACCUCGCGGGAGGCGUGCAUUUAUCAGACCAAAAACCGGCCGCGUCUUCGGGCGCGUUCGCCUUGGUGACUCUGGAUAACUUUGCGGAUCGCACGGUCUAGCACCGGCGACGGAUCAUUCAAGUGUCUGCCCUAUCAACUUUCGUCGGUACGGUAUUUGCCUACCGAGGUUCUUACGGGUGACGGGGAAUCAGGGUUCGAUUCCGGAGAGGGAGCCUGAGAAACGGCUACCACAUCCAAGGAAGGCAGCAGGCGCGCAAAUUACCCAUUCCCGACGCGGGGAGGUAGUGACGAAAAAUAACAAUGCAGGACUCGUUCGAGGCCCUGUAAUUGGAAUGAGUACACUUUAAAAGCUUUAACGAGUAUCCAUUGGAGGGCAAGUCUGGUGCCAGCAGCCGCGGUAAUUCCAGCUCCAAAAGUAUAUAUUUAAGUUGUUGCGGUUAAAAAGCUCGUAGUUGGAUUUUGGGCGCAGGCGGCCGGUCCGUCGCAAGGCGUGUACUGGACGUCCUGGCCUUCCCUCCGGUUAACGAAACUCGCGCGCCGCCGAGGUGAAAAUUCGAUCGCGA